AACGCAUCUUGCGCUCCUUGGUAUUCCGAGGAGCAUGCCUGUUUGAGUGUCGUGAAUAAACCUCGGGCCUUCUUUCCUUUCGAGGAGUAAGAGGCUCGGAUAGUGGACGCUUUGCCGUGCUCGAUCGCGGCUCGUCUUGAAAUGAAUUAGAGUCGGGUCCCAGAAGGGGUUAACGGUGUGAUAAGGUCUCGCCGUAAUGCCUUUUCGAUACUGGACCCAAAUGCUCAUUUUGUCCUUUUAGUUGGACUGUCCCUUAGGGGCAUAUAAGCAGUGUGACCUCAAAUCAGGUAGGACUACCCGCUGAACUUAA
rnacentral:misc_RNA from 1 species